rnacentral:rRNA from 1 species
ACCCCACUAUUAGCUCUCAAGGAAAACUCUAAGCACUACGGUUUUAAAGUUAAAACUUAAAUAACAUGGCGGCGAGCUUAAAUUUCAGAGGAACCUACCAGGUAAAUGAUAACCCGCAAAAUAUUCUUACUUUACCUAAAAGUUUAUAUAUCGCCGUCUAGUAAUCUUUCAAGAAGGCUACAAAAGGAUGUAUACAAGAAGACAGGCCAUGACAUAGCGUAUGGUAAAGACUUGAGGUGGGUUACAAUAAGAAAUUCUUUCAGAAUUUUGCCUAAAGGCAAAUCCAAGGUGGAUUUGAAAGUAAUAACUAAAAUAAAUAUGUAAUGAAUCUUUCUAAGAUCGUGUACACACCG